CCUACGGGAGGCAGCAGUAGGGAAUAUUGGGCAAUGGAGGCAACUCUGACCCAGCCAUGCCGCGUGCAGGAUGAAGGCGUUAUGCGUUGUAAACUGCUUUUAUAUAGGAAGAAAUAGACCUUGCGAGGUAAGUUGACGGUACUAUAUGAAUAAGCACCGGCUAACUCCGUGCCAGCAGCCGCGGUAAUACGGAGGGUGCAAGCGUUGUCCGGAUUUAUUGGGUUUAAAGGGUGCGUAGGCGGUUUAUUAAGUCAGUGGUGAAAGACGGUCGCUCAACGAUUGCAGUGCCAUUGAUACUGGUAGACUUGAGUGAGAUUGAGGUAGCUGGAAUGGAUAGUGUAGCGGUGAAAUGCAUAGAUAUUAUCCAGAACACCAAUUGCGUAGGCAAGUUACUAAGUCUCAACUGACGCUGAGGCACGAAAGUGUGGGUAUCAAACAGGAUUAGAUACCCUGGUAGUCCACACUGUAAACGAUGAUAACUAACUGUUGGCUUUUGGGUCAGUGGUACAGAGAAAUCGUUAAGUUAUCCACCUGGGGAGUACGCCGGCAACGGUGAAACGUCAAANAGAGUAGAGCGNGAGAGNGCGAGCGACGACGAGGGAGAGG
rnacentral:rRNA from 1 species